rnacentral:lncRNA from 1 species
CUCCGAUGUAUACAUGUAAACAAAGAUAAGAAAGAAAAUAAGAAUUAGAUUGUAGGAAAGUCAAUUUCAACAACUCAAAAUUAAAAACAUAUAAAGCAAGUGACACAGAAAGGAUUCAAACAAGUCAUCAAACUUAUAAUAUCUAGUGUAGUAUAUCAAAAUUUGGUGUUCCUAAAGUAUAGAAAUUUAAACGAGGCAAUUGGUCACUUAGUG